UAGUGAGUAGUUUAAGUAAAACGGUAGGUUGUGGUUCUACAGAUAGGUUGUUUGCUCUCAUUAG
rnacentral:tRNA from 1 species